rnacentral:tmRNA from 1 species
GGGGCCGAUCGGUUUCGACGGUGUGUGUCGCGUCGGGAGAAGCGGGCCGAGGAUGCAGAGUCAUCUCGUCAAACGCUCUCUGCAAACCAAUAAGUGCCGAAUCCAAGCGCACUGACUUCGCUCUCGCUGCCUGAUCAGUGAUCGAGUCCGUCA